rnacentral:ribozyme from 1 species
UGUUCAGCAUCUCCUAUCCCUACAUCCUCGCGGUAUUGGCCGGGGUACGAGCAACCUUAGGGAAGAUCGGGUUGGUCGUAUGCUGACAGGCAAUUGG